AACGGCCCUACCAUGUUGAAACCACCUGUUCUCAUCCGAUCACCGAAGUUAAGCAUCAUCGGGCGGGGUCAGAGUACUUGGGAAGAUGACCAAGU